rnacentral:rRNA from 1 species
AGGGAAUCUUCCACAAUGGACGAAAGUCUGAUGGAGCAACGCCGCGUGAGUGAAGAAGGUUUUCGGAUCGUAAAGCUCUGUUGUUGGUGAAGAAGGAUAGAGGCAGUAACUGGUCUUUAUUUGACGGUAAUCAACCAGAAAGUCACGGCUAACUACGUGCCAGCAGCCGCGGUAAUACGUAGGUGGCAAGCGUUGUCCGGAUUUAUUGGGCGUAAAGCGAGCGCAGGCGGAAUGAUAAGUCUGAUGUGAAAGCCCACGGCUCAACCGUGGAACUGCAUCGGAAACUGUCAUUCUUGAGUGCAGAAGAGGAGAGUGGAACUCCAUGUGUAGCGGUGGAAUGCGUAGAUAUAUGGAAGAACACCAGUGGCGAAGGCGGCUCUCUGGUCUGCAACUGACGCUGAGGCUCGAAAGCAUGGGUAGCGAACAGGAUUAGAUACCCUGGUAGUCCAUGCCGUAAACGAUGAGCGCUAGGUGUUGGGGACUUUCCGGUCCUCAGUGCCGCAGCAAAUGCAUUAAGCGCUCCGCCUGG